rnacentral:rRNA from 1 species
AUUUUCUUUGGUUAAUUUUAUAAAAAUUCAUUGUAAAAAUAAUUUUUUGUUUAAUAAAAUUGUUAAAAAAUUAUUUAAAAUUUAAACUGAGGGGGAUUAAAUUAAGCUUAAAAUUUAUUGUUAAUUUUUGAAAAGAAAACUUUUUUGUUGUACCUUUUGUAUCAGGGUUAAUUAAUUUUUUUAAAUUAAUUUUAUUUUCCCGAAAUGCUAUGAUUUUAAUUUUUUUUUGUAUUUAAUUGUUGAAAAAAUUUUAAUAAAAUAAAUUAAGAUUUGAAAUGAAAAUCGUUUUGUAUGAUAUCUGGUUAUUUUGAAAAUAAAUUUAAUUUAGGUGAUUCUGUUAUAAAAUUUAUUUUUAUUUUUAUUUUUUGUCACAAAUUUAAUUUAGGUUAAUCUAAUUUAAUUUCUAUAAUUUUUUAUGGGGGGUAAGAAAUAGUAGGAUUAAAAUUUUUUUUCUUAAUAAAUUUGUUUUAAAUUAUUCUUUUACUAUUCAUUUAUUUAAUUUUUUACAAAAUUUUUUUAUAUAAUAAUUUUUUUUAAAAAUUAUGAUUAAAUUAGUAAAUUUAAAUUUUUAUUAUAUGAACUAGGCAAAAAUUUUUCUGUCUGUUUAUCAAAAACAUUUCCUUUAGUUUAAUGUUAAAGGUUGGGCCUGCUCAGUGAAUUUUAUUUAAAUAGCUGCAGUAUAUUAACUGUACAAAGGUAGCAUAAUAAUUAGUCUUUUAAUUGAGGUCUAGAAUGAAUGGUUUGACAAGAAAAAAUCUUUAUUUAAUUAAUUGGGUUGAAUUUAAUUUUUUAGUUAAAAAGCUAAAAUUUUUAAAUGGGACGAUAAGACCCUAUAGAUCUUUAAAUUUUUAAGAAUAAAAAUAUUUUUGGUUAAUUAGAGUUUAAAAUAGAAAUUUUUAGUUGGGGUGACAAAUAAAAUUUUAAAACUUUAUUUUUUAAUUACAUAUAUAUAUGUAUUUUAAGAUCCUAAAUUUUGGAUUUUAAAAAUAAGAUACCUUAGGGAUAACAGCGUAAUAAAUUUGUAUAGUUCAUAUAGAUAAAUUUGUUUACGACCUCGAUGUUGAAUUAAUUAAAAUUUUUGGAGCAGAAAUUAAAAUUUUAGGUCUGUUCGACCUUUAGAAUAUUACAUGAUUUGAGUUCAAACCGGUGUAAGCCAGGUUGGUUUCUAUCUAUUUAAAUUUAAUUUAAUUAGUACGAAAGGACUUUUAAAUUUGGAAAAUUUUCU